rnacentral:rRNA from 1 species
AGCGAACGCUGGCGGCGUGCCUAAUACAUGCAAGUCGAACGGGGAAAGCUUUCGGGUGAGUACUAGUGGCGCACGGGUGAGUAACGCGUGGAUAAUCUGCCUUAGAGUGGGGGAUAACUAGUCGAAAGAUUAGCUAAUACCGCAUAAGACCACAAGAACUGCGGUUCAAGGGGUCAAAGGUUUUUCGCUCUAAGAUGAGUCCGCGUAAGAUUAGCUAGUUGGUAGGGUAACGGCCUACCAAGGCGACGAUCUUUAACUGGUCUGAGAGGAUGAUCAGUCACACUGGAACUGAGACACGGUCCAGACUCCUACGGGAGGCAGCAGUAGGGAAUAUUGCACAAUGGAGGAAACUCUGAUGCAGCGACGCCGCGUGAGUGAUGAAGGCCUUCGGGUCGUAAAGCUCUGUCGCAGGGGAAUAACACAAUGAAGGUACCCUGUAAGAAAGGAUCGGCUAACUUCGUGCCAGCCGCCGCAGUAACAC